rnacentral:rRNA from 1 species
UGCCAGACUCCUACGGGAGGCAGCAGUGGGGAAUAUUGCACAAUGGGGGAAACCCUGAUGCAGCGACGCCGCGUGAGCGAUGAAGUAUUUCGAUAUGUAAAGCUCUAUCAGCAGGGAAGAAAAUGACGGUACCUGACUAAGAAGCCCCGGCUAACUACGUGCCAGCAGCCGCGGUAAUACGUAGGGGGCAAGCGUUAUCCGGAUUUACUGGGUGUAAAGGGAGCGUAGACGGCUGUGCAAGCCAGAUGUGAAAGCCCGGGGCUCAACCCCGGGACUGCAUUUGGAACUGUGUGGCUGGAGUGUCGGAGAGGCAGGCGGAAUUCCUAGUGUAGCGGUGAAAUGCGUAGAUAUUAGGAGGAACACCAGUGGCGAAGGCGGCCUGCUGGACGAUGACUGACGUUGAGGCUCGAAAGCGUGGGGAGCAAACAGGAUUAGAUACCCGAGUAGG